rnacentral:rRNA from 1 species
GAACAUUGAGCCUUGAUGUGUAGGAUAGGUGGGAGGCUUUGAAGUGUGGACGCCAGUCUGCAUGGAGCCGACCUUGAAAUACCACCCUUUAAUGUUUGAUGUUCUAACGUGGACCCGUAAUCCGGGUUGCGGACAGUGUCUGGUGGGUAGUUUGACUGGGGCGGUCUCCUCCUAAAGAGUAACGGAGGAGCACGAAGGUUGGCUAAUCCUGGUCGGACAUCAGGAGGUUAGUGCAAUGGCAUAAGCCAGCUUGACUGCGAGCGUGACGGCGCGAGCAGGUGCGAAAGCAGGUCAUAGUGAUCCGGUGGUUCUGAAUGGAAGGGCCAUCGCUCAACGGAUAAAAGGUACUCCGGGGAUAACAGGCUGAUACCGCCCAAGAGUUCAUAUCGACGGCGGUGUUUGGCACCUCGAUGUCGGCUCAUCACAUCCUGGGGCUGAAGUAGGUCCCAAGGGUAUGGCUGUUCGCCAUUUAAAGUGGUACGCGAGCUGGGUUUAGAACGUCGUGAGACAGUUCGGUCCCUAUCUGCCGUGGGCGCUGGAGAACUGAGGGGGGCUGCUCCUAGUACGAGAGGACCGGAGUGGACGCAUCACUGGUGUUCGGGUUGUCAUGCCAAUGGCACUGCCCGGUAGCUAAAUGCGGAAGAGAUAAGUGCUGAAAGCAUCUAAGCACGAAACUUGCCCCGA